AACUCAAGGAAUUGGCGGGGACCGCACAAGCAGCGGAGCAUGUGUUAAUUCGAAGCAACGCGAGACCUUACCAGGGCUUGACAUCCUCUGACAGUCCCUUAACCGGGACUUCUUCGGACAGAGGAGACAGGUGGUGCAUGGUUGUCGUCAGCUCGUGUCGUGAGAUGUUGGGUUAAGUCCCGCAACGAGCGCAACCCUUGUCUUUAGUUGCCAUCAUUCAGUUGGGCACUCUAGAGAGACUGCCGAGGACAACUCGGAGGAAGGUGGGGAUGACGUCAAAUCAUCAUGCCCCUUAUGUCCUGGGCUACACACGUGCUACAAUGGCUGGUACAAAGAGACGCAAGACCGCGAGGUGGAGCAAAUCUCAAAAACCAGUCCCAGUUCGGAUUGCAGGCUGCAACUCGCCUGCAUGAAGUCGGAGUUGCUAGUAAUCGCAGAUCAGAAUGCUGCGGUGAAUGCGUUCCCGGGUCUUGUACACACCGCCCGUCACACCAUGGAAGUUGGGGGCGCCCGAAGUUGGCCAAUUAAUAGGUUACCUAAGGCGAAAUCAAUGACUGGGGUGAAGUCGUAACAAGGUAACCGUA
rnacentral:rRNA from 1 species